UACGUAGGUGACAAGCGUUGUCCGGAUUACUGGGCGUAAAGAGCGCGCAGGCGGUCGUUCAAGUCGAGUGUGAAAGCCCCCGGCUCAACUGGGGAGGGUCAUUCGAUACUGAUCGACUCGAAGGCAGGAGAGGGAAGUGGAAUUCCCGGUGUAGUGGUGAAAUGCGUAGAUAUCGGGAGGAACACCAGUGGCGAAGGCGACUUCCUGGCCUGUUCUUGACGCUGAGGCGCGAAAGCUAGGGGAGCAAAGCAGGGAUUAAGAUGACCCUUGUAG
rnacentral:rRNA from 1 species